rnacentral:piRNA from 5 species
UGGUCUAGGGGUAUGAUUCUCGGU